rnacentral:misc_RNA from 1 species
UUUCCGUUGGUGAACCAGCGGAAGGAUCAUUACAGAGAUCGUGCCCUUCGGGGUAGACCUCCCACCCUGUGUUAUUUACGUAUGUUGCUUUGGCGGGCCGCCUCCGGGCUCUCGGCUUCGGCCGAGGUGUGCCCGCCAGAGAACCCACAACCCUGUGUUUAGUGUCGUCUGAGUACUAUAUAAUAGUUAAAACUUUCAACAACGGAUCUCUUGGUUCUG